rnacentral:rRNA from 1 species
CGCGUAGGCGGUUUGUUAAGUCAGCUGUGAAAGCCCUGGGCUCAACCUGGGAACUGCAGUUGAUACUGGCCGACUAGAGUACGAGAGAGGGAGGUAGAAUUCCACGUGUAGCGGUGAAAUGCGUAGAUAUGUGGAGGAAUACCGGUGGCGAAGGCGGCCUCCUGGCUCGAUACUGACGCUGAGGCGCGAAAGCGUGGGGAGCAAACAGGAUUAGAUACCCUGGUAGUCC